rnacentral:rRNA from 1 species
GGCCUAAAACAUGCAAGUCGAACGCCGUAGCAAUACGGAGUGGCAGACGGGUGAGUAACACGUGGGAACGUGCCCUUUGGUUCGGAACAACACAGGGAAACUUGUGCUAAUACCGGAUAAGCCCUUACGGGGAAAGAUUUAUCGCCGAAGGAUCGGCCCGCGUCUGAUUAGCUAGUUGGUGGGGUAACGGCCCACCAAGGCUACGAUCAGUAGCUGGUCUGAGAGGAUGAUCAGCCACACUGGGACUGAGACACGGCCCAGACUCCUACGGGAGGCAGCAGUUAGGAAUCUUGGACAAUGGGCGCAAGCCUGAUCCAGCCAUGCCGCGUGAGUGAUGAAGGCCUUAGGGUUGUAAAGCUCUUUCAGCGGGGAAGAUAAUGACGGUACCCGCAGAAGAAGCCCCGGCUAACUUCGUGCCAGCAGCCGCGGUAAUACGAAGGGGGCUAGCGUUGCUCGGAAUCACUGGGCGUAAAGCGCACGUAGGCGGAUCUUUAAGUCAGGGGUGAAAUCCUGGAGCUCAACUCCAG